rnacentral:lncRNA from 1 species
GAUCGACCGAUUGGAAGGUUGGAGCGAUUGGGCCAAUAUGGGCUUAAGGUGGGCCAGAAAAAGAAGAUAAAGAAAGAUUGGCAUGUGAGAGUAUGAUAACCAACUCCAAUACAAGUUGCGUUUGUAAAUAUUCGUUUUUGUUUAAAAUUAGAGAUAGAUCCUAGUCGGUUAGGAAAUCAGUUGCAACAGGCUAUAAAUAGCCAUCUUUAGAGAUUUGUAAAAUAACAAAUCAAUCAAUACAAAUAGUCUUCUUUUU